GCCCUUUUCCGGUUGAUCCUGCCGGAGGCUACCGCUCUGGGAGUCGGACUAAGCCAUGCUAGCGGAGGGCAGUUCGGCUGCCCCGCGUAUAGCUCAGUAACACGUGGUCAAUCUGACCUUGGGAUCGGAAUAACCCCGGGAAACUGGGGAUAAUUCCGAAUAGACGGGGGGUUUGGAACUAUCCCUCGUCGAAACGUCCCGACGCCCAAGGAUGAGACUGCGGCCUAUUAGGUUGUUGGUGGGGUAA
rnacentral:rRNA from 1 species